UACGUAGGGGGCUAGCGUUGUCCGGAAUCAUUGGGCGUAAAGAGCGUGUAGGCGGCCAGAUAAGUCCGCUGUGAAAUCUCGAGGCUCAACUUCGAGCUGUCGGUGGAAACUGUCUGGCUAGAGUCCGGAAGAGGAGAGUGGAAUUCCUGGUGUAGCGGUGAAAUGCGCAGAUAUCAGGAGGAACACCAGCGGCGAAGGCGGCGCUCUGGCCGGUACUGACGCUCAGGCACGAAGCGUGGGAGCAACAGG
rnacentral:rRNA from 1 species